CGCAGCCGGCGGACAUGCGGAUUAUUCGAUGCACGCGAAGAACCUUACCAAGGCUUGACAUAUACGAGAACGGGCCAGAAAUGGUCAACUCUUUGGACACUCGUAAACAGGUGGUGCAUGGUUGUCGUCAGCUCGUGUCGUGAGAUGUUGGGUUAAGUCCCGCAACGAGCGCAACCCUCGUUCUAUGUUGCCAGCACGUAAUGGUGGGAACUCAUGGGAUACUGCCGGGGUCAACUCGGAGGAAGGUGGGGAUGACGUCAAAUCAUCAUGCCCCUUAUGUCUUGGGCUUCACGCAUGCUACAAUGGCCGGUACAAAGGGCUGCAAUACCGCGAGGUGGAGCGAAUCCCAAAAAGCCGGUCCCAGUUCGGAUUGAGGUCUGCAACUCGACCUCAUGAAGUCGGAGUCGCUAGUAAUCGCAGAUCAGCAACGCUGCGGUGAAUACGUUCCCGGGUCUUGUACACACCGCCCGUCAAGUCAUGAAAGUCGGUAACACCUGAAGCCGGUGGCCUAACCCUUGUGGAGGGAGCCGUCGAAGGUGGGAUCGGUAAUUAGGACUAAGUCGUAACAAGGUUA
rnacentral:rRNA from 1 species